GAUGAACGCUGGCGGCGUGCCUAAUACAUGCAAGUCGAGCGAACGGACGCGAAGCUUGCUUUUCUGUUGUUAGCGGCGGACGUGUGAGUAACACGUGGAUAACCUACCUAUAAGACUGGUAUCACUUCGGGACACCGGCGCUUAUCCCGUAUAAUCUUUUGAACCGCAUUGUUCAAAAGUGAAAUACGGUCUUGCUGUCACUUAUCGCUGGAUCCGCGCUGCAUUAGCUAGUUGGUAAGUUAACGGCUUACCAAGGCAACGAUGCAUAGGCGACCGGAGAGGGUGAUAGGCCACACGGGAGCGGAGACACGGUCCAGACUACUAAGGGAGGCAGCAGUAGGGAAUCUUACGCAAAGGGGGAAAGCAUGACAGAGCAACGGCGAGUGAGUGAUGGAGGUCUUGGGAGCGUAAAAAUGUGUUAUGAGGGAAGAACAGAUGUGGAAGGAACUGUGCACAGAGUGACGGUAACGAAUAAGAAAGCAACGGCUAACUACGUG
rnacentral:rRNA from 1 species